AUGAAGACAGCACUGGCAAUGAUACUGAGGCUUCAGCUAGACUGGUUAUGUGGAGAGAAGACAGUGCAGCAAACCCCUCCGUUUCUCGGCUCCUGGGAAGGAAGAAACAGCACUAUCCUCUGCAGUUAUUCAAGAUCCGCUACAGACAGCCUGCUCUGGUAUAGACAAGAUCUGGGGGAAAGCCUGGAGUUUCUGUUUGCAUUGCUGUCAAAUGGAGCAGUGAAGAGAGAUAGAAGAUUAACAGCCUCACUUGAUCAGAAAGCUCGCCUCAGCGCCCUGCACUUCUCCCCUGCACUUCUCCGGACUCCAGCACAGCCACUCUGCCAUCUACUUCUGUGCCCUGGGCA